UACGGAGGGUGCAAGCGUUAUCCGGAAUCACUGGGUUUAAAGGGUGCGUAGGUGGUUAUGUAAGUCAGUGGUGAAAUGUCGGGGCUCAACCGGGGCACUGCCAUUGAUACUGCAUAACUUGAAUCAGGUUGAGGUGGGCGGAAUGUGACAUGUAGCGGUGAAAUGCUUAGAUAUGUCAUAGAACACCGAUUGCGUAGGCAGCUCACUGGACCUGUAUUGACACUGAGGCACGAAAGCGUGGGGAGCGAACAGG
rnacentral:rRNA from 1 species